GAGUCUGAUGGAGCACGCCGCGUGAGUGAAGAAGGGUUUCGGCUCGUAAAACUCUGUUGUUAAAGAAGAACAUAUCUGAGAGUAACUGUUCAGGUAUUGACGGUAUUUAACCAGAAAGCCACGGCUAACUACGUGCCAGCAGCCGCGGUAAUACGUAGGUGGCAAGCGUUGUCCGGAUUUAUUGGGCGUAAAGCGAGCGCAGGCGGUUUUUUAAGUCUGAUGUGAAAGCCUUCGGCUCAACCGAAGAAGUGCAUCGGAAACUGGGAAACUUGAGUGCAGAAGAGGACAGUGGAACUCCAUGUGUAGCGGUGAAAUGCGUAGAUAUAUGGAAGAACACCAGUGGCGAAGGCGGCUGUCUGGUCUGUAACUGACGCUGAGGCUCGAAAGUAUGGGUAGCAAACAGGAUUAGAUACCCUGGUAGUCCAUACCGUAAACGAUGAAUGCUAAGUGUUGGAGGGUUUCCGCCCUUCAGUGCUGCAGCUAACGCAUUAAGCAUUCCGCCUGGGGAGUACGGCCGCAAGGCUGAAACUCAAAGGAAUUGACGGGGGCCCGCACAAGCGGUGGAGCAUGUGGUUUAAUUCGAAGCUACGCGAAGAACCUUACCAGGUCUUGACAUACUAUGCAAAUCUAAGAGAUUAGACGUUCCCUUCGGGGACAUGGAUACAGGUGGUGCAUGGUUGUCGUCAGCUCGUGUCGUGAGAUGUUGGGUUAAGUCCCGCAACGAGCGCAACCCUUAUUAUCAGUUGCCAGCAUUAAGUUGGGCACUCUGGUGAGACUGCCGGUGACAAACCGGAGGAAGGUGGGGAUGACGUCAAAUCAUCAUGCCCCUUAUGACCUGGGCUACACACGUGCUACAAUGGAUGGUACAACGAGUUGCGAACUCGCGAGAGUAAGCUAAUCUCUUAAGCCA
rnacentral:rRNA from 2 species